GACGAACGCUGGCGGCGUGCUUAACACAUGCAAGUCGAACGGAAACGCCCUGCUUUUUUGCGGUGCUCGAGUGGCGAACGGGUGAGUAACACGUGAGUAACCUGCCCUUGACUUUGGGAUAACUUCAGGAAACUGGGUCUAAUACCGGAUAGGAUCUCCUGCUGCAUGGUGGGCGUUGGAUAGUUUCGGCGGUUGGGGAUGGACUCGCGGCUUAUCAGCUUGUUGGUUGGGUAGUGGCUUACCAAGGCUUUGACGGGUAGCCGGCCUGAGAGGGUGACCGGAGACAAUAGAACUGAGAUACGGCACAGACUGGAACGGGAGGCAGGGGUGGGGAGUAUUACACAAUGGGAGGAAGCAUGAUGCAGAAACGCCGCGUGCGGGAAGACGGGAUGCGGGUAGUAAACCGCUGCCGGCUGUGACGAAGCGUGAGUGACGGUAAUGGGUAAAGAAGCACCGGCUAACUACGUG
rnacentral:rRNA from 1 species